rnacentral:rRNA from 2 species
GGACUACCGGGGUAUCUAAUCCUGUUUGAUCCCCACGCUUUCGUGCCUCAGCGUCAAUAUUCGCGUAGUUAGCUGCCUUCGCAAUAGGUGUUCUAUGUCAUAUCUAAGCAUUUCACCGCUACAUGACAUAUUCCGCUAACCUCCACGACAUUCAAGACAAAUAGUAUCAAUGGCAGUUCCCAAGUUAAGCUCAGGUAUUUCACCACUGACUUAAAUGCCCGCCUACGCACCCUUUAAACCCAGUGAAUCCGGAUAACGCUUGCACCCUCCGUAUUACCGCGGCUGCUGGCAC